GGGUCGUUAGCUCAGUUGGUAGAGCAGUUGACUUUUAAUCAAUUGGUCACUGGUUCGAAUCCAGUACGACCCACCA
rnacentral:tRNA from 39 species